GCAACCAAACCAACAUAUAUAAUCUUAACACCUACAACAAAUCAGUUUUAACAUUUUCAAAACCUAUUUCAGAUUAUCCAGAGGGAUAAUGCAUUUUCCGAUUUUUUCUACGCUAACGGUAUUGGCCUUCAUCACUGGCAAAGUGGAUUUAAAACUUGUCGACUUAACUCACAUUCUUGGUCCAAGCCCACCCAACUGGCCAGGCGAUCCACCUUAUAUCUUCACAACCUUGUACCGAGAACAAUUCGAUGAUUAUUGGUAUGAAUUAAAUAAGUUUGAAACAGUGGAGCAUAUAGGGAUACAUCUGGACGCAUGAGCACAUUUUUCCGAAGGAUCUAAGAGGGUACACGAAAUUCCAAUGGAAAGUUAGCAGGACCAGGAGUUAUUAUCAAUGUUAAAGCGAAGGUAGCCGAGAAUCCGGAUUACCAAGUUUCCAAGGAUGACUUAGGAGCCUGGGAAUCGAAACACAACAAAAGAAUUCCAAAUGGGUCAGUUGUAAUUAUGAACUCUGGAUGGUCUUAAAAAUUUUCAAACGACUCACUUUUAUUUGGAACCGAGAUGAUGCAAUCACCUUUCAUUUUCCUGGCUGGAAAAAUGAGAGUGUUCACUGGUUGAUUACAGAACGAUUUGUUAAUAGGAUCGGUGUAGACACGCCUUCAACUGAUUUCGGUUAAUCGGCUACUUUUCCUGUACACCAGCGUCUUGGAAAAGGAAAUGUUCCUGGAGUUGAGUUGGUCGCGAAUUUGGACUCAAUUCCGGAAUAUGGGUCUACGAUCUAUGUAGCGGUUAUUAGAAUAUACGAAGGCAGUUGAGGGCCAGCAAGAGUUUUUGCUACAUUCCAAGAAGAUGAAGACGACUACGAGGAUAGCGAAAGUGAAUCAGAUAGCGAGACUAGCGAGGAAAGUGAUUCAGAAUAGAUGUACUGAAAUGUGUUGUAUCUCAGUUGUUUGUACAUUUUCUGUAAAUAGACUAGGUUUUACUUUGCGUGUACAGGCGGGGUUCGAGUUAUAUGUUUUGGGUUACAUUUGUUAUGAAUGAUAAGAUAUUUUCCCUCUGACUACAUGUAUAUAUAUAUAUAUAUAUAUA